rnacentral:rRNA from 1 species
GAACGAACGCUGGCGGCAUGCCUACCACAUGCAAGUCGAACGAAGGCUUCGGCCUUAGUGGCGCACGGGUGCGUAACGCGUGGGAAUCUGCCCUUGGGUUCGGAAUAACGUCGGGAAACUGACGCUAAUACCGGAUGAUGACGUAAGUCCAAAGAUUUAUCGCCCAAGGAUGAGCCCGCGUCGGAUUAGCUAGUUGGUGAGGUAAAAGCUCACCAAGGCGACGAUCCGUAGCUGGUCUGAGAGGAUGAUCAGCCACACUGGGACUGAGACACGGCCCAGACUCCUACGGGAGGCAGCAGUGGGGAAUAUUGGACAAUGGGCGAAAGCCUGAUCCAGCAAUGCCGCGUGAGUGAUGAAGGCCUUAGGGUUGUAAAGCUCUUUUACCCGGGAUGAUAAUGACCGUACCGGGAGAAUAAGCUCCGGCUAACUCCGUG